AGUAACACGUGGAUAAUCUACCCGACAAUCAGGGAUAACAUUUCGAAAGGAACGCUAAUACCUGAUAAGCCUACGCCCUCCUCGGAGGAAGUAGGAAAAGGUGGGGACCUUCGGGCCUGCCGUUGUUGGAUGAGUCCGCGGCCCAUUAGCUAGUUGGUAGGGUAAUGGCCUACCAAGGCUACGAUGGGUAGCUGGUCUGAGAGGAUGAUCAGCCACACUGGAACUGAGACACGGUCCAG
rnacentral:rRNA from 1 species